GGGAAGUAGAAGAAGUUUUAAAAAAGACAACCCCCUCGAGCCACGAGAUCACUCCUGCCUGUGAAGAACCAUUUCGUCUUGUCGUGAAUUCUUCGGUACAACAAGCAGCUGGAAUGAUUUCAGGUGAAGAAGAAACUGGAGCCGGUACAGGGAACGCCGAGCAGCCAAGUGCCCAACUUCAUCCCGCACAAGAUGCCCGCAUGGAAGAGAGU